CAAAAGCUUGGUCCUGGCUUUUUUGUCGGCUAUGAUUAAACCUACACAUGCAAGUCUCCGCAACCCUGUGAGGAUGCCCUCCGCUACCCGCCAACCAAGGGAAGGAGGAGCUGAUAUCAGGUACAACCUUGAGUUAGCCCACGACAUCUUGUUCAGCCACCCCCCCAAGGGUAAUCAGCAGUGACAAACCUUAGAGAAGAAGUGCAAGCUUGCCUUAGUUAAAAUCGAGCAGGGCCGGUCAACCUCGUGCCAGCCACCGCGGAUACACGGGCGGGCCCAAGUCGACAAAACUCGGCGUAAAGUGUGGUUAAUAAAAAUUUUCAACUAAAGCCAAACAACCUCAAGGCUGUAUAAAGCAUAUGAGGACUGGAAGACCCCCCACGAAAGUGGCUUUAAUAACUAUGACGCCACGAAAGCUAGGGAACAAACUGGGAUUAGGUACCCCACUAUGCCUAGCCGUAAACAUAGACAAUCAAGGUACAACUAUUGUUCGCCAGGGUACAACGAGCUGUGGCUUACAACCCAAAGGACUUGGCGGUUCUUUAGACCCCCCUAGAGGAGCCUGUCCUAGAACCGAUAUUCCCCGUUCAACCUCACCCCCUCUUGUAUCUUCCAGCCUGUAUACCUCCGUCGUCAGCUUACCCUAUGAAGGCCUAAUAGUAAGCUCAAUCGGCAUCUCAGCCCAAAAAGGCAGGUCGAGGCGCAGCUUAUGAGGGGGGAAGAGAUGGGCUACAUUAUCUGAAGCAGAUAAUACGGACGGUGUCUUGAAACAGACACCCGAAGGUGGAUUUAGCAGUAAGGGGAGAGUAGAGUGCUCCCCUGAAGACGGCCCUGGAGUGCGUACACACCGCCCGUCACCCUCCCCGAAAAAAGCAAAGUGUGAACCUAUGAAGUUAGCAUAAAGUGAGGGGAGGUAAGUCGUAACAUGGUAAGUGUACCGGAAGGUGCACUUGGACAAACAACU
rnacentral:ncRNA from 1 species